UUCCAACUGAUGAGUCCCAAAUAGGAUUAAACAUGCGUCCUAGAU
rfam:Schistosoma curassoni strain Dakar, Senegal genome assembly, scaffold: SCTD_scaffold0000183